CACUGUCUGUCUCACUUCCCAGCCGACAGAGAUAGUGACCUUGUCCUCGAGACGUACUCCCCAUUCUCUCCCAAAUCUCUAGUCAGGUCGGCACCAAGCUCAGACAGUCUGUGUUUAAAAUACCAUAAAGACAUAUUGUUUUACCCUAAUUCUGACUAGGACUACACAUUUAUUGAUUAUGAUUUCAAACAUUCUAAUCAAUUCCAUACAAUUAUAUGUUUCAGGAGGGAAUAUUCUAAUCAUUCAAUUAAAAGACAAUUCUCACCUAUCACAAACAUAGUCUACUUAAACUAAUAACACACUUAAAACGAUACGUUUUCAUGUCUCUGUGUAACACAGCGUGUAAACAUUCACAGUGCAGGGUGGGAAAAGUAGGUGAACCCUUGGAUUUAAUAACUGGUUGACCCUCCUUUGGCAGCAACAACAUCAACCAAAUGUUUUCUGUAGUUGCAGAUCAGACCGGCGCAACAGUCAGGAGGAAUGUCCUCUUUACAAAACUGUUUCAGUUCAGUUCAAAUUCUUAGGAUGUCUGGUGUGAACGGCUCUCUUGAGGUCGUCCCACAGCAUCUCAAUCGGGUUGAGGUCAGGACACAGCAUCUCAAUCGGGUUGAGGUCAGGACUGGGUCACUCCAGAAGGCGUAUUGUCUUCUGUUGAAGCCAUUCUGUUGUUGAUUUACUUCUGCGUUUCCUGUUGCAUCACCCAACAUCUGUAGAGCUUCAAUAGGCGGACAGAUAGCCCAACAUUCUCCUGCAAAAUGUCUUGAUAAUCUUUGGGAAGAAUUGGUGUGCUGUGCCUUUUUUUCUCUCCACACAUAGUGUUGUGUGUUCCUUCAAAACAACUUCAUUUGAGUUUUAUUUGUCCACAGAAUAUUUUGACAGUAGCGCUGUGGAACAUCCAGGUGCACUUUUGCGAACUUCAAAAUUAGUUUUUUUUUGGACAGCGGUGGCUUCUUCCCUGAACACCAUUCUUGUUUUAGUGUUUUACAUAUCGUAGACUCGUCAACAGAGAUGUUAGCAUGUUCCAGAGAUUUAUGUAAGUGUUCAGCUGACACUAGGAUUCUUCUUUACCUCAUUGAGCAUUCUGCGCUGUGCUCUUGCAGUCAUCUUUGCAGGACGUUAACUAACCUUUUAAUUAAAACCCGGACAACGCUGAGCCAAUUGUGCGCGGAGCUAUGGGACUCCCAAUCACGGCCGGAUGUGAUACAGCCUGGAUCCAAACCAGGGACUGUAGUGACGUCUCUUGCGCUGAGAUGCAGUGCCUUAGACAGCUGCGCCACUCGGGGAGACCCAUAACAGAGAUGGUAACAACACAGUAAAUGUGCAAGAGGGACAACUAGUUACUAAAGCUAGCGCUGUGAUUGGAGCGUUGCGCUUCCGCAGCUGCGCAGACACGGAGAACCUCGCUGGAGCUGUCAUCUGGAAAGGGAGGAGAGGAACAGAGAGAAGAACGAAAUAAACGCAGCGAGGACGCGAACACUCAAGAAAGAGAUCGUUCACAGCUUUGUGGAAGUUACCUGUGGCGCUGAUGUUUGGGCCGAG
ensembl:lncRNA